rnacentral:rRNA from 1 species
GACGGAAGGUGCAAGCGUUGCUCGGAAUCACUGGGCGUAAAGGGUGCGUAGGCGGCUUGGUGGGUCUGGUGUGAAAGCCCCGGGCUCAGCCUGGGAAGGGCGCUAGAAACUGCCGAGCUCGAGUGCCGGAGGGGAGAGUGGAAUUCCUGGUGUAGCGGUGAAAUGCGUAGAUAUCAGGAGGAAUACCGGUGGCGAAAGCGACUCUCUGGACGGCAACUGACGCUGAGGCACGAAAGCGUGGGGAGCGAACAGG